UACGUAGGGACCGAGCGUUGUCCGGAUUCAUUGGGCGUAAAGAGCUCGUAGGCGGUGUGUCACGUCGGCCGUGAAAACCUGCAGCUUAACUGUGGGCGUGCGGUCGAUACGGGCAUCACUGGAGUUCGGCAGGGGAGACUGGAAUUCCUGGUGUAGCGGUGAAAUGCGCAGAUAUCAGGAGGAACACCUAUAGCGAAGGCAGCUUGCUGGGACGACACUGACGCUGAGGCGCGAAAGCGUGGGGAGCGAACAGG
rnacentral:rRNA from 1 species